rnacentral:lncRNA from 1 species
CAAAGCUAAGAUUUAAAAGUGCAACAACAAGGUGAUACAACUCAAUCCGAUCAGACCCAAUUCUCCGCUAAGGGUGAAUUUCCUAAUGCAAUUUCCUUUACAAUCAUGUCUCAUUCCUUUUCAUAAUCUUUCUAUUUUUCCUUUUUUUUUUUGGGUUAAGUUAUUUUCGCUCUUGAUAGAUGGGCCAUAAUUCACGAGAUUGAACUUUUGGGGGUGAUCCAAAAUGUU